CCAAUAGCGUAUAUUAAAGUUGUUGCAGUUAAAAAGCUCGUAGUUGAAUUUCGGGAUCAGUAGGUCGGUCAUGCCUCAGGUAUGUACUGGUCUCACUGGUUCCUCCUUCCUGAUGAACCGUAAUGCCAUUAAUUUGGUGUUGCGGGGAGACUGGACUGUUACUUUGAAAAAAUUAGAGUGUUUAAAGCAGGCUUAAGCUUGAAUACAUUAGCAUGGAAUAAUGAAAUAGGACGUUCGAUCCUAUUUUGUUGGUUUCUAGGAUUGACGUAAUGAUUAAUAGGGAUAGUUGGGGGCAUUAGUAUUCAAUUGUCAGAGGUGAAAUUCUUGGAUUUAUUGAAGACUAACUACUGCGAAAGCAUUUGCCAAGGAUGUUUUCAUUAAUCAAGAACGAAAGUUAGGGGAUCGAAGACGAUCAGAUACCGUCGUAGUCUUAACCAUAAACUAUGCCGACUAGGGAUCGGAUGAUGUUAAUUUUUUAAUGACUCAUUUGGCGCCUUACG
rnacentral:rRNA from 1 species